rnacentral:rRNA from 1 species
UACGGAGGGUGCAAGCGUUAUCCGGAAUUACUGGGUUUAAAGGGUGCGUAGGCGGCGCUGUAAGUCAGGGGUGAAAGGUUCCGGCUCAACCGGAGAAUUGCCUUUGAUACUGCAGUUCUAGGAUUGGGUUGAGGUUGGCGGAAUGUGACAUGUAGCGGUGAAAUGCAUAGAUAUGUCAUAGAACACCGAUUGCGAAGGCAGCCAACUGGACCUUGAUUGACGCUGAGGCACGAAAGCGUGGGGAGCAAACAGG